GACAGAGGGUGCGAACGUUGCUCGGAAUCACUGGGCGUAAAGCGCACGUAGGCGGAUUGUUAAGUCAGGGGUGAAAUCCUGGAGCUCAACUCCAGAACUGCCUUUGAUACUGGCGAUCUCGAGUCCGGGAGAGGUGAGUGGAACUGCGAGUGUAGAGGUGAAAUUCGUAGAUAUUCGCAAGAACACCAGUGGCGAAGGCGGCUCACUGGCCCGGUACUGACGCUGAGGUGCGAAAGCGUGGGGAGCAAACAGG
rnacentral:rRNA from 1 species